UCCCGCAGUGAAUACUAAAUAAAAAGCCCGAGCUUCUCCCUUCCUCCUUCUGUCAUCCUCAGUCGAAGGAUUUCUUCAUCAUGAACGCCAGCAUGUUUGGGGAGAAGAGAAAACCCAUUGGGGCCAUAGCGCUCGGGUCCUAUAGGGACCAGCACUUCAAGGGUAGUCGGUUCGAGCAGGAGCAGGCGUUAUUGCUCAGCACCACCCUGUAUAUCGGGAACCUGUCUUUCUACACCACCGAGGAACAGAUCCACGAACUCUUCAGUCGAUGUGGAGACGUGAAACGAAUUGUGAUGGGUUUGGAUAAAGUUACAAAGACGCCGUGUGGGUUUUGCUUCGUCGAAUACUACGAGCGUCCCGAUGCUGAGAAUGCAAUGAGGUACGUCAAUGGCACGAGACUGGACGACCGCAUCAUCCGUACCGACUGGGAUGCUGGCUUCCGAGAAGGACGGCAGUACGGCCGAGGAAAGUCCGGCGGCCAGGUGCGAGAUGAAUACAGGACGGAUUACGACGAAGGCAGAGGAGGCUACGGUCUUCACAAGUAGAGUUUUGUGUCCCAAGAAGGAAGGUAUGCAUUGGUGCACUGACUACGUUCCAGGUAAGAUUUUACCACACUGACUUGCUGAUCAAAUGCUGUCCAACCGCGACCACCACAUCAUUUUAAAACGUUUAACCUGUAUCAUUGGAGAUGAGACUCAAAAUAAAGAUCAUUUAUUUAUUUAUUC